GACGUAGGGCGCGAGCGUUGUCCGGAUUUAUUGGCGUAAAGAGCUCGUAGGUGGUUCGGUAAGUCGGGUGUGAAACCUCCAGGCUCAACCUGGAGACGCCACCCGAUACUGCUGUGACUGGAGUCCGGUAGGGGAGCGUGGAAUUCCUGGUGUAGCGGUGAAAUGCGCAGAUAUCAGGAGGAACACCAGCGGCGAAGGCGGCGCUCUGGGCCGGUACUGACACUGAGGAGCGAAAGCGUGGGUAGCAAACAGG
rnacentral:rRNA from 1 species